rnacentral:rRNA from 1 species
UUUAACAAAAACAUUGCCUACUGAAAGAUAUACUAGGUACGCCCUGCCCAGUGACAACCUGUUCAACGGCCGCGGUAUCCUGACCGUGCAAAGGUAGCAUAAUCAUUCGCCCCCUAAUUAGGGGAUUGUAUGAACGGGUAAACGAAAAAGACACUGUCUCUUUUAUGCCACUAAAAAUUAACCUUCAGGUGAAGAGGCCUGAAUAAAAAUAAAGGACAAAAAGACCCUAUUGAGCUUUAUUUUAUAAGCCCCAUAUCCCAUUAUCUAUUAAGGUAUAAUAUGCUUCAUAAAUUUGGUUGGGGCGACCGAGGAAAUUUCUUCUCUUCCUUUACCCUCCCGACACCACGUCAUAUAAAAGAGCCGUUAUACGACCCUUGAAUUAAGCUACCAUAGGGAUAACAGGCUAAUCCUUCUUGAGAGCCCACAUUGACAGAAGGGCUUGGCACCUCGAUGUUGGCUUAAGACACCCCUUGAGCGUAGAAGCCUAAAAGGUAGGUUGU